rnacentral:rRNA from 1 species
GGGUUGUGAGGUUAAGCGACUAAGCGUACACGGUGGAUGCCCUGGCAGUCAGAGGCGAUGAAGGACGUGCUAAUCUGCGAUAAGCGUCGGUAAGGUGAUAUGAACCGUUAUAACCGGCGAUUUCCGAAUGGGGAAACCCAGUGUGAUUCGUCACACUAUCAUUAACUGAAUCCAUAGGUUAAUGAGGCGAACCGGGGGAACUGAAACAUCUAAGUACCCCGAGGAAAAGAAAUCAACCGAGAUUCCCCCAGUAGCGGCGAGCGAACGGGGAGCAGCCCAGAGCCUGAAUCAGUGUGUGUGUUAGUGGAAGCGUCUGGAAAGGCGCGCGAUACAGGGUGACAGCCCCGUACACAAAAAUGCACAUGCUGUGAGCUCGAUGAGUAGGGCGGGACACGUGGUAUCCUGUCUGAAUAUGGGGGGACCAUCCUCCAAGGCUAAAUACUCCUGACUGACCGAUAGUGAACCAGUACCGUGAGGGAAAGGCGAAAAGAACCCCGGCGAGGGGAGUGAAAAAGAACCUGAAACCGUGUACGUACAAGCAGUGGGAGCCUCUUAAUGGGGUGACUGCGUACCUUUUGUAUAAUGGGUCAGCGACUUAUAUUCUGUAGCAAGGUUAACCGAAUAGGGGAGCCGAAGGGAAACCGAGUCUUAACUGGGCGUUAAGUUGCAGGGUAUAGACCCGAAACCCGGUGAUCUAGCCAUGGGCAGGUUGAAGGUUGGGUAACACUAACUGGAGGACCGAACCGACUAAUGUUGAAAAAUUAGCGGAUGACUUGUGGCUGGGGGUGAAAGGCCAAUCAAACCGGGAGAUAGCUGGUUCUCCCCGAAAGCUAUUUAGGUAGCGCCUCGUGAAUUCAUCUCCGGGGGUAGAGCACUGUUUCGGCAAGGGGGUCAUCCCGACUUACCAACCCGAUGCAAACUGCGAAUACCGGAGAAUGUUAUCACGGGAGACACACGGCGGGUGCUAACGUCCGUCGUGAAGAGGGAAACAACCCAGACCGCCAGCUAAGGUCCCAAAGUCAUGGUUAAGUGGGAAACGAUGUGGGAAGGCCCAGACAGCCAGGAUGUUGGCUUAGAAGCAGCCAUCAUUUAAAGAAAGCGUAAUAGCUCACUGGUCGAGUCGGCCUGCGCGGAAGAUGUAACGGGGCUAAACCAUGCACCGAAGCUGCGGCAGCGAC